CUGAAAGGUACUAGAGCCAUCAAAAU
rnacentral:piRNA from 1 species